AACGCACAUUGCGCCCCUUGGUAUUCCAUGGGGCAUGCCUGUUCGAGCGUCAUCUACACCCUCAAGCUCUGCUUGGUGUUGGGCGUCUGUCCCGCCUCUGCGCGCGGACUCGCCCCAAAUGCAUUGGCAGCGGUCCUUGCCUCCUCUCGCGCAGCACAUUGCGCUUCUCGAGGUGUGCGGACCGCGUCCACGAAGCAACAUUACCGUCUUUGACCUCGGAUCAGGUAGGGAUACCCGCUGAACUUAA
rnacentral:misc_RNA from 1 species